rnacentral:tRNA from 1 species
GGUUUCGUGGUGUAGUGGUUAUCAAGUCUGCUUAACAUGCAGAAGGUCGCGAGUUCGAGCCUCGCCGAAACAUCG